UACGAAGGGGGCUAGCGUUGCUCGGAAUCACUGGGCGUAAAGCGCACGUAGGCGGCUUACUAAGUCAGGGGUGAAAUCCUGGAGCUCAACUCCAGAACUGCCUUUGAUACUGAAGAUCUUGAGUUCGGGAGAGGUGAGUGGAACUGCGAGUGUAGAGGUGAAAUUCGUAGAUAUUCGCAAGAACACCAGUGGCGAAGGCGGCUCACUGGCCCGAUACUGACGCUGAGGCACGAAAGCGUGGGAGCAAACAGG
rnacentral:rRNA from 1 species